UACACAUGAUAAAACACUCUGCAUGUCUCUAACCUCCAAUGGUUUGAUGUGUGUUAUUUCCUGUCCCCUGCCAGUCCUGGUGUUCCGCCAGCCGACUAUCACCCCAAUCAGACUCCCGUCUGACAACUCGGUGCAGGCGCAGACGGUGACCCUCGCCUGCUACAUAUCAGGAUUCUACCCGCCCGACAUCUACGUGACGUGGAAAAGCGAGAGGGGGGUGCAGGAGCUGGGCUGGGUGACCAACUUCCCGGUGGUGGCGGACGCCAGCGGGUCCUACAGUACCGCCAGCCAGAUGACCAUCCCCAUGUCCGAUGUUGACCGCUCGCUCACCUACGUCUGCAUGGUGGCUCACGACUCCAUCUCCUUCCCCAUCGAGGAGUGGUUUCAGAUCAGCUGAAUGUCGCCCGGUCAGAGAUUCAUGUUGCCCGGAAUUCGCGCCGACCAGGACCUGUGCAACCGGAGUAACAUUAGUGUGUGCCAUUGGAAGUACCAAGGUGGCAUUUCGCCACUCCUGAUCUACAAACAAUAAACAUAUUUUCUCCUGUCC